rnacentral:hammerhead_ribozyme from 1 species
AUUCAGCUGAUAAAUCCCAAAUAGGACGAAACGCGUGUCCUGGAU